CCUACGGGAGGCAGCAGUAGGGAAUUUUGCGCAAUGCUCGUAAGAGUGACGCAGCGACACCGCGUGAGGGAUGAAGGUACAGAGUAUCGUAAACCUCUUUUGUCAGGGAACAAAGGCGGGGACGUGUCCCCGGAUGAGUGUACCUGAAGAAAAAGCAUCGGCUAACUCCGUGCCAGCAGCCGCGGUAAUACGGAGGAUGCGAGCGUUAUCCGGAUUUAUUGGGUUUAAAGGGUGCGCAGGCGGUCUGUUAAGUCAGCGGUCAAAGCCCGGGGCUCAACCCCGGCCCGCCGUUGAAACUGGCAGUCUCGAGUUGGAGCGAAGUAUGCGGAAUGCGCGGUGUAGCGGUGAAAUGCAUAGAUAUCGCGCAGAACUCCGAUUGCGAAGGCAGCAUGCCGGCUCCACACUGACGCUGAGGCACGAAAGCGUGGGUAUCGAACAGGAUUAGAUACCCGAGUAGUC
rnacentral:rRNA from 1 species